AUUGAACGCUGGCGGCAUGCUUUACACAUGCAAGUCGAACGGCAGCGCGGGCUUCGGCCUGGCGGCGAGUGGCGAACGGGUGAGUAAUGCAUCGGAACGUGCCCAGCAGUGGGGGAUAGGCCGGCGAAAGCCGGAUUAAUACCGCAUACGACCUGAGGGUGAAAGCGGGGGACCGAAAGGCCUCGCGCUAUUGGAGCGGCCGAUGUCGGAUUAGCUAGUUGGUGGGGUAAAGGCUUACCAAGGCGACGAUCCGUAGCUGGUCUGAGAGGACGACCAGCCACACUGGGACUGAGACACGGCCCAGACUCCUACGGGAGGCAGCAGUGGGGAAUUUUGGACAAUGGGGGCAACCCUGAUCCAGCCAUGCCGCGUGCGGGAAGAAGGCCUUCGGGUUGUAAACCGCUUUUGUUCGGGAAGAAAUCCUCUGGGCUAAUACCCCGGGGGGAUGACGGUACCGGAAGAAUAAGCACCGGCUAACUACGUG
rnacentral:rRNA from 1 species